rnacentral:rRNA from 1 species
GUGGCGGACGGGUGAGUAACACGUGGGAACGUGCCCUUUGGUUCGGAACAACUCAGGGAAACUUGAGCUAAUACCGAAUGUGCCCUUCGGGGGAAAGAUUUAUCGCCAUUGGAGCGGCCCGCGUCUGAUUAGCUAGUUGGUGAGGUAAUGGCUCACCAAGGCGACGAUCAAUAGCUGGUCUGAGAGGAUGAUCAGCCACACUGAGACUGAGACACGGCCCAGACUCCUACGGGAGGCAGCAGUGGGGAAUAUUGGACAAUGGGCGCAAGCCUGAUCCAGCAAUGCCGCGUGUGUGAAGAAGGCCUUCGGGUUGUAAAGCACUUUUAUCAGGAGCGAAAUACCACGGGUUAAUACCCUAUGGGGCUGACGGUACCUGAGGAAUAAGCACCGGCUAACUUCGUGCCAGCAGCCGCGGUAAUACGAAGGGUGCAAGCGUUAAUCGGAAUUACUGGGCGUAAAGGGUGCGUAGGCGGUUCGUUAAGUCUGUUGUGAAAUCCCCGGGCUCAACCUGGGAAUGGCAAUGGAUACUGGCGAGCUAGAGUGUGAUAGAGGAUGGUGGAAUUCCCGGUGUAGCGGUGAAAUGCGUAGAGAUCGGAAGGAACAUCAGUGGCGAAGGCGGCCAUCUGGGACAACACUGACGCUGAAGCACGAAAGCGUGGGGAGCAAACAGGAUUAGAUACCCUGGUAGUCCACGCCCUAAACGAUGCGAGCUGGAUGUUGGUCUCAACUCGGAGAUCAGUGUCGAAGCUAACGCGUUAAGUUCGCCGCCUGGGGAGUACGGUCGCAAGACUGAAACUCAAAGGAAUUGACGGGGGCCCGCACAAGCGGUGGAGUAUGUGGUUUAAUUCGAUGCAACGCGAAGAACCUUACCUGGCCUUGACAUGUCUGGAAUCCUGCAGAGAUGCGGGAGUGCCUUCGGGAAUCAGAACACAGGUGCUGCAUGAC